GUCGAACGCUGAAACUGGGGCUUGCCCCGGUGGGUGAGUGGCGAACGGGUGAGUAACACGUGAGCAACCUACCCUUCACUCUGGGAUACGCGCUGGAAACGGCGUCUAAUACUGGAUACGACCCAUACCGGCAUCGGUAGUGGGUGGAAAGAUUUAUCGGUGAAGGAUGGGCUCGCGGCCUAUCAGCUUGUUGGUGAGGUAACGGCUCACCAAGGCGACGACGGGUAGCCGGCCUGAGAGGGUGACCGGCCACACUGGGACUGAGACACGGCCCAGACUCCUACGGGAGGCAGCAGUGGGGAAUAUUGCACAAUGGGCGCAAGCCUGAUGCAGCAACGCCGCGUGAGGGAUGACUGCCUUCGGGUUGUAAACCUCUUUUAGUAGGGAAGAAGCCGCAAGGUGACGGUACCUGCAGAAAAAGCACCGGCUAACUACGUGCCAGCAGCCGCGGUAAUACGUAGGGUGCAAGCGUUGUCCGGAAUUAUUGGGCGUAAAGAGCUCGUAGGUGGCUUGUCGCGUCUGCCGUGAAAACCUCAGGCUCAACCUGGGACGUGCGGUGGGUACGGGCAAGCUAGAGUGCGGUAGGGGAGAUUGGAAUUCCUGGUGUAGCGGUGGAAUGCGCAGAUAUCAGGAGGAACACCGAUGGCGAAGGCAGAUCUCUGGGCCGUAACUGACACUGAGGAGCGAAAGCAUGGGGAGCGAACAGGAUUAGAUACCCUGGUAGUCCAUGCCGUAAACGUUGGGAACUAGACGUAGGGCCUGUUCCACGGGUUCUGUGUCGACGCUAACGCAUUAAGUUCCCCGCCU
rnacentral:rRNA from 1 species